AUGUUUUUUUUUGGUUUCACGCAAGGCAUGGAACUUGCAGAAGGUUCCGAAUCUGGAGGAGAGACAACCAUCUACUCAGGUGAUGAGUCCUCAACCGGAGAGACGGAAUCCAUCUACCAGCUUCAAGACGGCGGGCUUGGGGGCUACUCUGGUGGCAACAGUAUUCCGAACCCCUAUGAGCCGCCCUCCAGGGCUGCGAUUUUCAUGGCUGGCACUGGGUGGGCUCUCAACUCAUCAACCGUGGCGGCUAUGAUGUCUGGGUCGACUGCCGCUGUGACAGCUGGGACGGGCGGCUCAGCCUGGCCGCGGACUCAGGUUUUGUCUGAACUCUUGGACACUUUGACGACUCUAUUAGCCACUCUAUACGAAAUAACAAAUUCAUUCUAA
rnacentral:rRNA from 1 species